UGAUUUAACUUUUUUUGAAAAGUUUUCCUUUCUAAUAUUUUGCAGGCUUUAAUGCUAAAUUGAUCUGCAUACCUUAGUGGCCGUCAGAUAUGACCCGACGCUCCGCAUGUGUGGCGCGUAUUUCAAAAACAGGAAGGCUCAUAGGUUGCUUAAACCAUCCUAAUUGGGAGGGAAAAUAAAGAUCAAAAGAAGCGGCAAGGCGGCAAAAAAGGCCUUGAUAAAACACCUCUAACCUCCGGCCGUUCAAUCGAUGAGUCUAUAGGAACACCCGGACAAGAACUCCAUCGGCUUUCCAUCCAGGUAUACACAUGCCUGCGAUCUGAGAGAUUUGGAACCUUGAUGUAGAUGUUAUCAGUUAAGCACUUGAUUACUUGGUUUUUCAAAUGGCAACGCCAACAUUUUGCAUAUUUUCUAUUUCAAGUGAAGUUCAAUUGGCCACGUCAAUAAAUUCUCUAAAGAAGCAGCAUAUUCCUUCCUGCUGAUUUCGGGAUACUGUGUUUGAAUGGUGUUCUUAAGGAUUCCCUAUUAGUCUCUGUUGAAUUUGACAGACCUGGGGGUUUGGCAAAUAAAUGUACUGGAACAGAUUGAAAAUUUCACUCAUGUAGCUGUCAAGUGAGGAGGCAUCACUUGCAGUAAGGUUAUAACAUUAAAAGGUAGUAAUAGAUGUAUCAUAAUAUUUUAUCAUCGAUCACUUUUGUUUGCUAACAUUUUGGUGUGAUAGUAAACUGCUAAUAUUAGAUUUGUGAGGCUGAGGCAGGGCAAAGUUAUUUCUCCUAGGUCUUGAAGUUUCAAAUGUGAGGUUGUUUGGAGCUCAUAUGUGCCGUUAUACAUUGCAAAGUUAUGUUACUUUUAUUUGUAGCUAAAGUUACAACUGCAGUGCUUAUAGCUAGACUUUAAAGUUUAAGUCAAAGCAUCUAAGAAAGCAGAAUAGUAGAGAGUUGGAAUUAUCUGGUACCUCUCCAGAAACAGUGUUGAAUACCUUCCGUUGUCAAACCUGAUAUACCAAAAAAGAUAAAAUAAUGAAUGUCAGUGGUUGACUUUGUGCUAUUUGUUAGGACUAUGUUCUCGAAUUAUGCUUACCCUUAAAUAUUGUUGGUAUUGAUGUUCCGAAGUAUACAGUCCGUCUUGGUAGGUUCCAUAUCCAAGAUCUAGGAACAUCAAUUGGGUUGAGGCUAGAAUCAUGGUCCGCAAACACCUUCAUAAAGCUUAUUUUGUUAGUAUUAUCCAUCUGCUGUUAGUUCUGAGUAGAGUAACCUGAGUUUAGAAAAUCUACCUCAUUGACUUGGAAAUAUGUACCAUUGAGGGGAAAACUCCCUCUCAUUGCUGUUCGACAUGGUAUCUGUUGAUGAUGUGUGGUGAAUAUCGGUUAGUUUUUGGCUUAGAUUGAUAUUAUCAAUCCUUAUAGGAAUGAUGCCAAACUAAUGAAAUGUUUUUGACAAGUAUUCUCACCAAGAGAGUUCCUCGAACAAUUUGUGAAUUUGCUUCUCGUAUACUAUUGCAAGAGAAACAUGUCUUCUCAUCACACAAUUUGCCAUCUUCUUGCAAGUUACAAUUAUUUUCAGGUGGUUGAAUGGAGUUUGCUGUUUCACCUAAUGGAAGCAAUUGAUCAGAUUUGUAUAGAACUAUUAUUAUGAUAGAUAAGUUUAUUGCUUGCAGUGACAGAACUUUUUGAAUUUUCUGUGCAUAGGGUGCUAGUGAACUAAUAUAGGCUGAACAGUUGGAAUGCUCGACCUCUGCAUAUCAUAUUGUUGAAACAACUUGCCUGCUAACCUUUCAGAGAUGAUGAAAUAGAAGAAAUUUGAUGGCUUCAUAUACUUACAGGCACAGGUCCAGUAUGAAGGGCUUAUGUGGGAUUGGAAAAGUGUCAAGGUGUAAAGAGGGUGGCCAUAUUGGAUGCUGCUCCCUGUCUGUACAAGGGUCACUCAUCUUCUUUCAGUGUCUUUCUUUUUUUUCCUUAGUAAUUUAGCUCAUUGAACUGAUUUCAACAGGUUUGCUGAAAUUGCAACUUUGAGACUAGUUCUAAAUAUGGUUAUGAUGGGUUUAAGUCAAAUAAUCCUAAAUUAUGUUCCUCUAUUCAACACUAACAUAUGCGGGGAUCCUGAGAACUAAUCCCAGAUAAACCUAUUAUUGUUUAAGAAAGAUGCCAAGCGUAUGUGUGAUAAGAUGCAUGAUUUUCUUUUCCUAUCUCUCCCUUAAACAACUCAUUUUUUACUAAGCUGAUGGCUAUUUUAUAACUAGCAGAUGAUUAAGUAGCGAGUCAGGCCUGGAAGCCAGGUUUGGACUCUUCUUUGUAUGCAAGGCACAUUUAUUAUGCCCUGGAUUGGCUUGUUUGAUCACUGAGUCAAGCUUGGGCAGGCUUUUAGACUCUGGCAAACCUAAAACACCUGCAGUUAUGGGUUGCUUUAGUUGUGUUCCCAACUGUGCAGCAAGGAACUUGUCAUGGCAGGCUAGUUUAUAUUUACUUACCUGGUGUCCAUAUUGCGAGGAGGUAUGAGCAUGGGUCAUCAGGCUCUCGUCUAUCCAACUGAAAUAGAAGCAAUCAAAAUUCAUUAGAAAUAAUUUUUGUUCAUGGAGGGAAAACAAUUCUGUUCAAGUCAAUCCAAGAUUAACUAACCCCUUCCAGAAGAGGGUGCGAAUCUGGAAGUUCAUACCUGCAUGUGGUGAAGUAAGAAACAAAAUUUAGUAAACUAUAGGGCAAUGUUGAAACAAUUUGGUUUCAGUGCCUGUCAGUGGAGAUUUGUCUGAAUAUAAGACAAUUUUUUGGCAAGCUGCGUUGUUUUUCUUGGUUUGGAAUAAUGUAUUUGUGGACAGCAGCUAAUUCUUCCCAUAUGUUCCAGAAUGUAAGCUUCUUGCCAAAAGAAGUUUCAAUUUGUGAAGUGUUAAACAUAGUAGACAUUCGCAGUUUGCAAAUUUCUUUCAUAGAACAGUUCAAUAAGGGACAUGACUACUUACACUUGGUGCUCUGUUCGCAGCCGACUCACAUUUUUAAGCUUGGGUGUAGGAAUAGAAGCAGCUUCUGCAGUCAAAGCAACCAAGGCUUUCGACAUAUCACAUUCUUGAAGUUCCAUAUUGUUUUGCAUGUAGUUCUGCAAAUUCUGAGUGAACUCUUCAAUGUUAAGCUUGAUAGUAGGAAUUUCAUCAGGAUCCUCACAGAAGGUAUCCUCCAUAUCAUUUUCUGUUACUUGUAUGCGCUCUGGUUCUGGUGAUGAUGGCUCUUCAACAAUAGGUUCACAACUGUUGACUCCAUAUUGUGCUUCUGAUUGCUGAAUACUUUUUGACAAUUGAUUUUCUUCUGAUUGUUCAGUAGCCUGAGGUAGAGGAAGUGGCAGUUGACCAACCAUUGCAGCAGGAUUUGGUUCAUUUGUUCUGUUUUCAGUUGCACUCACCAUACCCUUUUCCUCUGGUCCAGGCAAGGCUAGUCUGGCACUGCACUUAACAUGAGGAUUCAUUGCUGUAGACUGCUUCCCUUUCUUCAUCAAGCUCAGAGUCAUGGAGCGUCAUUGAAGUUUGGUCACAAAUUGAUUGAUUGGACAUCUCUUCGUUCCAUUUUAAGGUGUCUUCUAGAUCUGGCAUGCACACUAUUGGUUUAUCAAUUACUGAGCCUGUUCUUUCUUCAUAGCAUUGUUCAUUAUGGCUCUGUGACUUCAGAGGAAAGUGUGCAGCAAGUGACAUAAAUGCUGAACUGCAGAAGAUUAACAGGUCAACCUGAGGCCGUGAGCGUCGUUUCUUAAUAAGUGAAUCGGUGUAGGGUACAACAGUCCCGUCGCUUCUAUAAAGGACCAGUGCAUUCUGCUGUUCAUUUCCAGCACUAUAAGGAACAAGUGCAUUCUGUUCUAUGUAUGUGAAGUUGCUACCUUCUCUGUUAAUGUCUAGAUGCUGUAAAUGCUCGGCUAUUGCAUCAAUAGUAGACAUCUGUUCCCGUAUUACUUCUGGAAGAGCAACUGCAUCAAAUGGCUACAUAAAUGAGAAGCAUUUGAUAUGGUGGAUUCCUUUUGAAAAUGAUUAUAUGUUAAACAUGAUUACCUAAUGAGUUUGCUGAGAAUAGGUUCUGAUUGUAUAAGAUGAUUUUUCCAUGUGCUUGUUCCACAUUUGUACUGGAGGAUGCAGAACUAACAAGGAGUCUCUUCUUGGUUCUCUUCUUUCUAGUCAAAGUUCCGCGCAUUUCUGCAACUAAAGCAUCUACACAUGCAUCGGGUCCAUUUAUGUCCCGAACCUGCUGCACAUCAUAUGCUCGUCUGCUUGUGGAACUUAGAUGCAUUGCUCCCUGUGCAAUUUUGGUCAGUGAAGCCAAGUCUCGAGUCCGAGUAUGGCCUCUGGAUCUCUUUUUAGUUGACCUCUCUGUUUGAGCUAAGACACAGCCGGAAGUUUCAUUUUUAAGCUGACAACCAUUUGUCUCUCCAAAUGCACCUGGAAUUCUAUCAGCAUUAGAAUGAGAAGCAGGAAGCAAGCAAUCAACUAUUGAUGUAGGAGGAUCUCCUCUGUUAUUCUUCUGUGGGCCUGGUAUAUCAAGUCUCAAUGUGCCACUUAGAGUGGUCGAACAAGAUAUGCUGCAUGUGGUGGCGAUAUGUGCCUUUUCAGUCCUCCUCUUCUUGAAAUUGCUUGGAACUUGGAACUCAGAUGUUGCCUGAUAUUGAGGUAAAGCAUUACAGAAAAUUCCAGUUAGAUUUGUGUUGCAGGUGCCUGGCUGUUGAAUGCAACUGAAAACCUUCCUCUUUGAUCCGUUUGAUUGUCCUUCCAUGGUCAAAGUUGUGUAUUUGCCGCAGAUGGAGUCAUUUGGGUUGAUUGGUGGCAAUUGAUUGUCAGUUUGCAACAUGCUUUGUGCAGCAUUCUGCUGUACACUGUGAGUAGUCACCUGGCCUUCUCUUUCAGCAGGGCUCUCUUGGGAAUUGUUGUUCCUUAUUCUCCUUGCAGGGUCAAUGUUUGCAUAUACUGGUGUGCUUGGUGCCUGUUUUUCAGGCAAUGCGAGGCUGUCCUUCAGUGUAAAAGUUCAAGGACCUCCUGCAUGACUUCUUGGCAGGCUCAACUGAUAUUGUACUGACAGACUUUCCAGUUGCUUCCACUGGUGGAGUUGAGAUUUUGUUGAGUGGUUUUCGUCGCACAUACUUCCUUUUGCCUGCUGGGAUUUCUGUAGAUACUGCUAAGUUGGUUGUGGGGGCUUUGCUGAGAGGUUUCUUUCUCACAUAUUUCCUCUUACCAGUCGGCCUUUCAGUGUUAAGAGCAUGCUUUGGAGUUGCUGGUUUUCGAGGCCUGGGUUUGCCUUCUGUAAUCACCUUAGGCCUGUGCUUUUUCCUCCUAGGUUUCUGCUCUGGUGUUUCGCUCAAGUUAAUAACAUGACUUCCUUCCUUCUCUGUCUUUUGGAGUUCGUUAUCUGUUUGUGGCCUGUUAAUGUCAAAUGAUACCAUAGCAACUUGAUCAUCCUGCUCAUUGCCUUCUUGAUUUGCUCUUUCAUCGGCGGAAAAAAAUUGCAGUUGAGCUACUUGCCUGCAUUCUACUCUUGUGCCUUUUUCUGGUGUCAUGGGAGCAAUUUGGCAACUGGUCUUGCUAGUGAAUGUAACUGCUGUUCCCCCGGGAGGUAAGUUGAGGUCAUAAGCAGAUCCUUGAAGAAUGGGAAGACCAUCUGUUGGGUCACCAAAAUAUUUAGAUUAAUCAUAACAUGAUCUAUGAAACUGAAAAUCGUAUCUUGGAAACCGGCUGAAAAAUUGUUUGAACUAGUUGCGUUUAUCUUAAAACACAGAUAAUUCAAAGAAACGAAAUUGUAAUUUUUAUUUUCUGAAUGCACAUCAGGAAACUAUCAUGCACUUUAUUCUUCAUAUAAUAUGUAAAGGUAUCAUUUCAAUUGCUUUUUCA